rnacentral:rRNA from 1 species
UACGGGGGGAGCAAGCGUUGUUCGGAUUUACUGGGCGUAAAGGGCGCGUAGGCGGUCGUGUAAAUCCACUUGGGAAAUCUCCGGGCUUAACUCGGAACGGUCAAGUGAUACUGUCGGACUAGAGUACAGAAGGGGCAACUGGAAUUCUCGGUGUAGCGGUGAAAUGCGUAGAUAUCGAGAGGAACACCUGCGGCGAAGGCGGGUUGCUGGGCUGAUACUGACGCUGAGGCGCGAAAGCUAGGGGAGCGAACGGG